rnacentral:rRNA from 1 species
ACGCUCGACACCUACGGGAGCAGCAGUGGGGAAUAUUGCACAAUGGGGGAAACCCUGAUGCAGCGACGCCGCGUGAGCGAAGAAGUAUUUCGGUAUGUAAAGCUCUAUCAGCAGGGAAGAAACUGACGGUACCUGACUAAGAAGCACCGGCUAAAUACGUGCCAGCAGUCGCGGUAAUCUGAGCGGGCUGGCAAGGC